UUCCGCGGCUUGUGUGCCAUUCUCGUGGUCAUGCUUGCCCACUCUGGUUUCGGUCUUCAAGCCUGAUCUUCAGUGAUCCUCACCUCUGAGAAGAUCCUGCCCGGAUCACCCGUGGGUCUCUCGGUUGGGACUGGAGACGUGUUCCCGGGGGCAAGGCGGCUGCCAUGUUCCUGCGCGGGUUCGUGCACGUCCCGCACCCGGAGUUCGAUCGCUGUCGAGGAAGUUUCAGUGCUGUCAGUUCAACUCU